rnacentral:rRNA from 1 species
GGAAAAGCCUAAACCAACAGGUUUACUUGUUGGGGUAGUGGGACAGCGAUAUCGAAUCUAGAGACUAGACGAAGCAGCUAAAUACUGUACCAGAGGGGGUGAAAGUCCUGUAGUCGAAAGUCAAAGGAUAGUAGCUGAAUCCCGAGUAGUACGGAGCACGAGGAAUUCCGUAUGAAUCAGCGAGGACCAUCUCGUAAGGCUAAAUACUACUGUGUGACCGAUAGAGAACAAGUACCGCGAGGGAAAGGUGAAAAGAACCCCGGAAGGGGAGUGAAAUAGAACAUGAAACCAUGAGCUUACAAGCAGUGGGAGUCCGAUUUAACGGAUGACCGCGUGCCUGUUGAAGAAUGAGCCGGCGACUUAUAGGCACUGGUAGGUUAAAGCGAGAAUGCUGGAGCCAAAGGGAAACCGAGUCUGAAGAGGGCGAUAAAUCAGUGUUUAUAGACCCGAACCCUGGUGAUCUAACCAUGGCCAGGAUGAAGCUUGGGUAACACCAAGUGGAGGUCCGAACCGACCGAUGUUGAAAAAUCGGCGGAUGAGCUGUGGUUAGGGGUGAAAUGCCAAUCGAACCAGGAGCUAGCUGGUUCUCCCCGAAAUGUGUUGAGGCGCAGCGGUAAUGAAUAAAUCUAGGGGGUAAAGCACUGUUUCGGUGCGGGCUGGGAGACCGGUACCAAAUCGAGACAAACUCAGAAUACCUAGAGAACACAUUGCCAGUGAGACAGUGGGGGAUAAGCUUCAUUGUCAAGAGGGAAACAGCCCAGACCACCAGCUAAGGUCCCCAAAUCAUCACUAAGUGAUAAAGGAGGUGAGAUUGCACAGACAACUAGGAGGUUUGCCUAGAAGCAGCCACCCUUGAAAGAGUGCGUAAUAGCUCACUAGUCAAGCGAUCUUGCGCCGAAAAUGAACGGGGCUAAGUGAUGUACCGAAGCUGUGGGAUUAAUAUAUUAAUCGGUAGGGGAGCGUUCCGUGGUAGGAAGAAGCAGUAGCGGCGAGCAGCUGUGGACGAAACGGAAGUGAGAAUGUCGGCUUGAGUAGCGCAAAUGUAUGUGAGAAUCAUACACCCCGAAACCCUAAGGGUUCCAGAGCCAGGUUCGUCCACUCUGGGUUAGUCGGGACCUAAGGCGAGGUCGAAAGGCGUAGUCGAUGGACAUCAGGUCAAUAAUCCUGAACUAUUGUGUGGGAGCAUAACUAGGGACGCAUGAAAGAUAGCCAUACCCUGAUUGGUUUGGGAGGAGUUUACGNNNACAGGUAGGGAGGUUGAGAAUACCAAGGGGCGCGAGAUAACUCUCUCUAAGGAACUCGGCAAAAUGGCCCCGUAACUUCGGAAGAAGGGGUGCCCACCUAAGAAGUGGGUCGCAGUGAAGAGAUCCAGGCGACUGUUUACCAAAAACACAGGUCUCCGCCAACUCGAAAGAGGACGUAUGGGGGCUGACGCCUGCCCAGUGCCGGAAGGUUAAGGAAGCUGGUCAGCGAAAGUGAAGCUGGCGACCGAAGCCCCGGUGAACGGCGGCCGUAACUAUAACGGUCCUAAGGUAGCGAAAUUCCUUGUCGGGUAAGUUCCGACCCGCACGAAAGGCGUAACGAUCUGGAUGGUGUCUCAGAGAGAGACUCGGCGAAAUAGGAAUGUCUGUGAAGAUACGGACUGCCUGCACCUGGACAGAAAGACCCUAUGAAGCUUUACUGUAGCCUGGAAUUGUGUUCGGGCUUGGCUUGCGCAGGAUAGGUGGGAAGCGAUGAGAUAUUCCUUGU